rnacentral:snRNA from 1 species
AGAUGUGAGAGCAAUCUGACUGUUGCAUUUAUCAUCCCGCUGAUCACCAGGAUUGAUUCAGCUGAGGUGGCUAGCCAGGUGGGCAUCCCAUUCCUCCCUCAGCACUCCAUGAGUCCCUCCCAAAUUUAUGUGCUUGUUUGAGAGAGUGACCUUUCCCCAAACAGGAUUCCAGCAAGGGUUAGGAGUAGCUGAACUCCCUCCAAACAAGCUCUCAAACCAGCACAGUUGAUUCUCCCAGAAAUGUGUAACUACUAACAUUUUUAACACCCAUCAGUGUGAAAGCAUGAU